AUUGAACGCUGGCGGCAUGCUUUACACAUGCAAGUCGAACGGUAACAGGCCGCAAGGUGCUGACGAGUGGCGAACGGGUGAGUAAUGCAUCGGAACGUGCCCAGUCGUGGGGGAUAACGCAGCGAAAGCUGUGCUAAUACCGCAUACGAUCUAUGGAUGAAAGCGGGGGACCGAAAGGCCUCGCGCGAUUGGAGCGGCCGAUGUCAGAUUAGGUAGUUGGUGGGGUAAAGGCCCACCAAGCCAACGAUCUGUAGCUGGUCUGAGAGGACGACCAGCCACACUGGGACUGAGACACGGCCCAGACUCCUACGGGAGGCAGCAGUGGGGAAUUUUGGACAAUGGGCGCAAGCCUGAUCCAGCAAUGCCGCGUGCAGGAAGAAGGCCUUCGGGUUGUAAACUGCUUUUGUACGGAACGAAACGGUCCGGGUUAAUACCCUGGGCUAAUGACGGUACCGUAAGACUAAGCACCGGCUAACUACGUGCCAGCCGCCGCAGUAA
rnacentral:rRNA from 1 species